UAAGUAGAUAGUGAAAUCUGGAGGCUCAACCUCACAGGCUAUUAUCUAAACUGGCAAACUCGAGAAUGGUAGAGGUAACUGGAAUUUCUAGUGUAGGAGUGAAAUCCGUAGAUAUUAGAAGGAACACCAAUGGCGUAGGCAGGUUACUGGACCAUUUCUGACACUGAGGCACGAAAGCGUGGGGAGCGAACCGGAUUAGAUACCCGGGUAGUCCACGCCGUAAACUAUGGAUACUA
rnacentral:rRNA from 1 species